UCCACCGUGAGGUGGAAUCUGAAGGAAGCUCUAGGCAAAACUCUGGUCUGACGAACAGAAAUCACAUAAGAGGUGAGUCGAGUGGAUAAGGCUGCUAAAGAAGCUAAAGUCCGAUAACUGUUAAAACUCGAAGCAUAAAUGUGGCAGAUAGAUGGAGUGAAAGAGUUCGCAC
rfam:Trichococcus sp. R210 isolate Trichococcus_R210 genome assembly, contig: TR210DRAFT_scaffold-38